GGCGCGGUGACAGAGUGGUUAUGUGGGGGUUUUGCCAAUGCCUCAUACGCCGGUUCGAUUCCGGCCCGCGCCU
rnacentral:tRNA from 1 species